GAUGGCGAGAAGCUCAAGACGGUGGUAUUAUGCAAGGCAGGCAAGAUCGUCAAGGAGAUAGCCGUCGUCGAAAAGUGGCCACCCCCACCACCGCCUCCGCCUCCUCCUCCACCGGAAUGCAAGGUGGUGUCAUACCCAUACCCCUGUACCAUAUCCGUUUCUACGCUGCAAGCACCGCCACCGCCGCCACUGAAGUAGCCACGCAUAAUGGAUGAAGGGAUCCUAUUGCGCAUUUUCUAACGCUGUCUUGAACAUUUUUUCCCGAUACAUGUUCUUUAAAUUUGCAGGCGGCAAUACUGGUCAUAACCAUGGUCGAUCUGUGCUGCGCCUGCAGAACCAAGAUCACCAAAAUCCUGGAAGGCCUCAAAGGUACAUUUACUAUGCAAAAAAGUUGGGAAAGGUCCAACCUUUUUUUUUUUUGGAAGCGGAGUAAAAGGAUGGGGAGUAAUUAUAGAUCUUAUUACGAGCAAUUUCUUACAGAACAAUGAUUGUCCAUAUGUGUAUGAGUAUAGACAAUCAUUUCGUGUUAAAGCAAAAAAGAAACAGUUAAAUUCCACAGUGGAAAAUUAACUUAACUUGUAGCCGGAUGAAGGUAUCUAAAAUCCUGUGAAAUUCCAUAUGUCCAGUCUGAAAUCUGGAAUGUUCUGACAAACACCAUGUAGGCAUGCAUAUGCAGGGCAGCAUUUUUACAGAAGAACCGGUUAAGUAACCAUGAUUAAGAGUGCAGCAAUUGGAUUAUAUGGCUCGAUUACAUUUAUUCUUGUCUGUACGAGUGUACCUGCAUGCAUCAAUAAACUCAUCAAUUGUUGCAGAGGAGUUUUGCAUCGAGAAGUUUGAGUUCGAGGAUAAGCUCAACAAGGUGAUUGUACGCGGGAAGUUCGAUGCCGAGAAGCUCAAGAAGACGAUAUUGUGCAAGGCUGGCCACAUCGUCAAGGAGAUAGUGCUCGUCGAAAAGUGGCCGCCGCCGCCACCACCACCUCCGUCUCCGGCUCCGCCGCCGCCGCCCAAACCGGAAUGCAAGGUGGUGCCGUAUCCGUACCCUGUACCGUAUCCGUUUCCAUCCCAGAGCUGGCCAUGCCCACCAACUCAGCCUCCAUGCCACUGCUGCAAGCCGGCACCGGAAAAACCGAAGCCACAGCCGGAAAAACCGCCAACGCCGCCGCCACAGUGCAAUUGCCACUGCUGCAAGCCGCCACCGGAAAAACCGAAGCCACCGCCACCGUGCAAUUGCCACUGCUGCAAGCCGCCACCGCCACCGGAAAAACCGAAGCCACCGGCGGAGAAACCGCCGCCCUGCAAGUGCGAGUGCUCGCACGACAAGGAUGACUGCAAGCAUCAUUGCCCACCAUGCCCGCCGUGCCCGCCGUGCCCACCAUGCCCGCCGCCGAACUACUGGCCGCCGCAGCCGUGGCCCGCAUGCCGGUGCCCGGAGCAGGACAGCCAGUGCUCCAUCAUGUGAUCCAUGGUUCCUUU
rnacentral:lncRNA from 1 species